UGUACAGUGGGCCGAGCCAUGCCCAACUGCUGAGAAUGGCGUUUUUGGGAUAUUCUUGGGGACCUCUCAAAACUGGCUCGUACGGCAGCGAUAUUCUCGGCCGAUCGCCUUGGUCGACUUUUAUAUGGCCUCUUCGGAUUAGAAAGAGCCUUACCAGUCGAAAAUUUUUCGUAUAAACGCUUAAUGGUGUCUUAGAAGGCGCACUUCUCACAUUUUUUUUUUCACAAUUGACUUCUUCUGUUGUCGCGUGGCGCUUAUUGGUUCAUGGUAAAAAUCUGCUUAGACUGACGCUUCAAACGCGGUAUGUCAUUAUGCGAUGUGACAUCUCUGUUAAAAGUUAUGGCGUUGCCAGAUGGGUCCGUCGAAUAUGGGCAACCCUGUACAUUCAGGGGAAUGAUGUGAAAGCAUUAAAAUUAAAUAUUUUAAGAACUAUACUUCUGCAUUUUCAAUUUAAUAAUCCAAAUUCCAAAAAUAUAUGUUUUUAAAUUAAGAUAAUUUAUUGAAAAUUAAUUAUUUUGUUUACAUUUUUGGACACAUAACUCUGACACUUGUAUUACGUACAAAAACAAAUUUAUAUGUGGUUGUUGUUACGAUUGUUGUACAACACUUGCUGUUACCUGUAUUUUUCUACCAUGUACCAUGGUAUGUAUCAUGGUACAAUAAAGUGCUUUGUGCGUAUUAUAGCUGUAUGUUGUUUUUCUUAAUGAAUUUUCACAAUUCAUUAAAGUGUUCACUGGAGAAAGUUUUGAGAAUCGCUGGGCAUACAAAGAUUUGGUGAUUAUCGGUGUUUGGCACAUUGCAGAUUUCGCAUAUGUUGGAAUUUUCAGCCUUUAUUAAAAACAGGUAAUUUUUGCCAUAGGUGAGGUCUGUGAAAAGUCGAUUAAUGAGUUUUAUGUUCCCAGGAGAUAGGUUAGUGCCGGCAAACCAGUGACGAGUUGGCGGUCCAGGAAAAAAUUGGGAGAAGUAUUUGCCUUUUGUAGCUAUGAUAUUUUUGUAAUUUUCGUUCCGUUCUCUCCAUAGGUGUUGAAAAACUAAUGAAUAGCCAUCCUUUAUGGCCAGCUUAGUGGAUAUGGGUGCCCCGACAUGAGCUGCGUAUUUUGCAAAGAAGUCUGCCCGUUCAUUGGCCGGAAUACCAAUAUGUGAAGGAGUCCAGAUGAAAGAUGUGAGUCGUCUGUGGGGACUGUGAUUUUGGUUCCUGUUAAAAAGCUGCUUGUUGCAAAUGGAAGCAGUGACUGCUGGAAACUUUUUAGUACAUUUAAGCCUUCUGUGCUAUUAAGAGAUAGAAAUUAUCUUGGCUGGAGGUGGGCUUGGAAGGCGAUAUUUGGAUUGGAUCGGCAAUGGCGUGACGUAUUUGAAUUCUGGGUGAAGCAACUUGGCUAUAUUUUGUUUUUGUAACUCUUUUGUUUAUUUCUUCAUAAACACUUCUUUUUGG